rnacentral:misc_RNA from 1 species
AAAUGUGAUAAGUAGUGUGAAUUGCAGAAUUUAGCGAAUCAUCGAAUCUUUGAACGCACAUUGCGCCCCUUGGUAUUCCAUGGGGCAUGCCUGUUCGAGCGUCAUUUCAACCCUCAAGCACUGCUUGGUGUUGGGCGUUUGUCCCGCCUACGCGCGUGGACUCGCCUCAAAGUCAUUGGCAGCUGUUCCCCUUCGGCUCGUAAGCGCAGCACAGUCGGCGCCCGGAGCUCUGGUGGGAUGGCGUCCAGCAAGCUAUAUUUUCAGGCUUGACCUCGGAUCAGGUAGGGAUACCCGCUGAACUUAAGC